GAUGAACGCUAGCUACAUGCUUAACACAUGCAAGUCGAGGGACCGGCGCACGGGUGCGUAACACGUAUCCAACCUGCCCUUUACUCGGGGAUAGCCUUUCGAAAGAAAGAUUAAUACCCGAACUAAAGGAUGGGGAUGCGUUCCAUUAGGUUGUUGGGGAGGGAACGGCUAACCAAGCCUUCGAUGGAUAGGGGUUCUGAGAGGAAGCUCCACCACAUUGGAACUGAGGCACGGUCCAAACUCGUACGCAGGGGAGCAGUGAGGUAUAUUGGUCAAUGGACGCUAGCCUGAACCAGCCAAGUAGGUGAAAGGAGGAAGGCUUAUGGGUCGUAAACUUCUUGUAUAUAAGAAUAUGUAUUAUAUGAAUAAGGAACGGCUAACUCCGUGCCAGCAGCCGCGGUAAUAC
rnacentral:rRNA from 1 species